UUUUAAGCUAAUAAAUAAGGCUAAAUAGCUAACUGUAAUUUUAAUUGUUAGUUUUCUGUGCCUGUUUACUUCCCACAACACUCCAACACAACACAUGUUAGAGCAUCAUAAAGAGAUGUAAGCACAUGAAUCAGUCUGUGCUAACUGCCCUGCUCACCUCACCUCACUCUCAGUGUUUGGACUGGGUUAAUGACCUGUAUUGAAUUACCCCACACAGGGCAUGUUGAUUACCUGAGCAACAAGUGUCUUUCUGACCUCCAGUUUCACCCAGGCUCGCUGCUUCCACGCAAGCCUUUGACUUUAGUCUGCGUAAGAGCUGGACUGGGAGAGAUUUAAGGGGGAAAUGGCUUCAAAAGAAGCUCGUACGCUAGCUAACGUUAGCCUCCCAGCCCACUGGAGGGAUGUCAGAGAGUGGAGUAUGGAGAAAAGACAGAGCUACGAAAUGUGGGUGCUAGAUGUAGAGAGUGUCCUUAACUCGAUGGCUAGACAGCUGAGUCUUUCUCUGGAGAAAUAUCCGAGAGAGAAGCACAAUGAUGGCUUUUCAUCCUCUUCAACCAAACGGAGGCUGCCUUUCCAUUACCCAGCUCUUACACUGUGAUCAGCCAUAAUCCUGUACCAGUAGAUCACCUGGUUUGACUCACCGCAUAACCUCCUGAGAACCAUGAAUUGAUCCACGUCUACAACCAGACUCCCAGUUAAAAGUCCUGGACUAUGUUCCCAAAAAUCUUGGUCAUGUGACUGCCCUAGAAAAGUCCUAAAUGAGUUCACAGUGCAGUAUGAUAGCUUUGUCACUAAACGCAUUAUUGUGGCAUCUUGUUGUGUCUGCUUUCUCCUCUCUGCUGAAAAUAAAGUUUUGUCUGACCUCA
rnacentral:lncRNA from 1 species